rnacentral:tRNA from 1 species
AGGUGUAGCGCAGUUUGGUAGCGCACCUGGUUUGGGACCAGGGGGUCGGGGGUUCAAAUCCCUUCGCCU